rnacentral:rRNA from 1 species
AUGGAGGAGAGCACCGAGGCCGCGGCGACGGCAAGCGGCGUGGCGCCUGGAGCCGGAGGCGCGGAGGCCGCCAGGGCGCCGGGCUUGAUGAAGGUGGUGGUGGCCGUGGACGCGAGCGAGGAGAGCAUGCACGCGCUGUCGUGGGCGCUCGACCACGUCGUCCGGCACCACCCCGGCGCGUCCGUCGUCGUCCUCCACGCCCAGCACCGCGUCGACCGCUCCGCCUAUGCAGGCCUGGCCUACGUCCCGCCCACGGCGAUGGACGCCAUGAGGAGGACGCAGGCGGAGAACACCAGGAAGGCGGUGUCCCGCGCGCUGGACGUGUGCAAGCAGAAGCAGGCGAGCGCCACGGCGGCGGUGGUGGUGGGCGACGCCAAGGAGGCCAUCUGCCAGGCCGUGGAGGACAUGCGCGCCGACCUCCUCGUCCUCGGCAGCCGUGGCCUGGGCAUGGUCAAGAGGGCGUUUUUGGGCAGCGUGAGCGACUACCUCGCCCAUCACGCGUGCUGUCCCGUUCUCAUCGUCAAGCCGCCCAACGAAGCGCGUCACAAGUGA